UGAUAAGUUAUACACGUAUAUGAAGUUCUACUGUCUACCUAGAAGGUCCGCUAUCGGAGUAGAUAUGCGAAAUGUUUGUCUUGAAUGCGAGGUUUUCAAGAUUUUCGACUUUUGCCUUCGGGAACUCAUUUCACCUCGUUCAAACUCAGCAAAACACUCCUCAACGGUUGAUUUUCCUGGUCCGAAUAAGGUUCAUCGAGCCAAACCUUGGCAUCAACAGUAUUUUCUUCACAAAAAAGCAAAGCUUCAUCAACACACACUAUCCCACAAACUAAUAGUCCAACAGCUGGGAAAUUUGUACACGUGUCUUGAAGAUUAGGGUUGUCUAAAAAUCAUAAGGAUUCAGUAUUAGUAGCGUCAUGUGUGUGUUAGCUUUCGAGCCCAUCUAGAACAGCUUGUAAAAGUCAAAUCAAAAUGAUAGAGCGUCAUUUUGAUAAUUUUCAUCAUUUGUUAUUACAGAAAUUCAGAAUUUCACUGAACUACUUCAAGUGGUAUAAUUUUUUCCCGAAUUACAUUUUCAAGUCCCAUUUUGUUGCCACACUAUUAAUUAAAAAGGUCUCUUUUGUGGAAAGAAAAGUUUUUGUCUUUUUUUUUGACAAAAUGAUAAAAAUGGCCAAUGUUUCGAGUAAAGCAAAGUAAAUGUAACUUCUCAGAAUCAAACAACAUACAAUAUUAAUGAAAUGUACUGAUGUGUAGUUGUACAAAAUAUUCUGAUUGGAUUUUUCAGAUUUGAAACCACUAGAAAAUUAGAAUGAGAGCUCUUUCCACACCUAAUAAGACAACCCAGGUAAUAAUGUGAGAAUUACCUAAAUAUUGAUUUAGUGGCGGCUGAAAGAGUCGAAUGUUAUCAAAAA